GUGUGUCUGUGAGGGUGUUGCCAAAGGAGAUUAACAUUUGAGUCGGUGGGCCGGGAAAGACAGUCCCACCCUCAAUUUGGUUGGGCAUCAUCUGAUCAGCUGCCAGCACAGCUAGAAUACAAAAAGCAGGCAGAAAAAUGUGAAACGAUGAGACUGGCCUAGCCUCCCAGUCUACAUCUUACUCUUGUGCUGUAUGCUUCCUGCCCUCCAACAUCGGACUCCAAAUUCUUCAGUUUUGGGACUCAGACCGGCUUGCCUUACUCCUCAGCUUGCAGACAGCCUAUUGUGGGACCUUGUGCUCGUGUUGGCCCUCAAUGGAUUGGAUGACGCCUGCCCACACUGGCAGAAGAUUGCAACCUCCCAUUAUGAAACAGCAUCAUAAAAUGCAGAGCACAGCUACCCUGACUAAAACCACCUUUCUCCUCUGCUGAUACAGACAAACUAGCAGUAAAUGCUUUUUGAGCUCCCGGCGUGCAGAUAAAUUCCUACGGACAUCCCCAAUUGGACUGAAAGAUUGAGACACACAAGGGAGAGAAUAGCUGAGGCCAGGAGAAUUUAACAUGGCAAUUAGCAACCCUUCAACUUUGCCAGACCCCACAGCACAAGACAGGAUGGAGGUGUGUGAAAGACUAUCAUCUGCAGAAUAAAAUACCCUGUGGCACCACAACAGUAAAAAAAAAAAAGGUGACUCUCAUCUAUCUUUGCCUGAGGAGAAGAAGGCUUGAGAACACAUAGAAAUAGAACAUAGAAGAGAAAGAAAAGGCCAAAAGCAAAGUUUAAAUUGUUUCCAAUUUGGGUCAGCAGAAAGGAAUGCCUCACAUAGAGCUAGGAGGCAUUGACCUUGAAAUUCCAGCAACUGCACCCAUAGAUGUGGCAAGAUGGUCCAGGACAAGGCCACGGUUGGCACAAAUGGAGCUGUGAACUAAAUUAAGGAAGCAGAAAGACACAUUACGAAAGGAAGAUAAGAACCUAAUCGCAUCUUUCUGGGAAGAGAGAGAAAGAUAUUGUUAAUAGAAUAGAUUGGGGAGAAAGGACAAAAGCACAAAGAAAUAUCCUGAAGAGUAGUCAAGUUACCUUUAAAUAUAAACUUAAGAAAUCUAGCCGUAUGGGAUAAAUUUGGCCAACUGGGCUAAGAGUUCAUUUACUUUGCUGCCAUAUUAGCUUUAUCCUCUCUGACCUAUAAAACAAUCCAUUAAACAGGAUGAGGCUCUUUAUUUUUUUUAAAGCAUAAGAAAAAUUUUAUCUGAAGAAAGUGUAUUUUUAAUGAUCCAAACUAUUCUAACUCUUUCUUUAUAUUAAAAUGGUAAAUGAAAUAAAUGAAUUCUGAACUGAAACUCAAGGUUCUUCUCUCAUUGUUAGUGAACCAAUGCCAUUUUCAGAAUGAGGGAAAGUAAGGAUAGAGAGGUGAGGACAAAAAUCAGAUCUUCCCCAUGUUUCCAUCUAAUUGUAAAUUCCAAAGCACUGUUGCCUGGAUUUCAUUCUGAGUGGUCAGAGGAAGAGUGUAACUGUAACCAGAGUUCCGGGGAGGCCUGAAUGAUAUUAUUUCAUUUAGGAUGACAGUGGCCACCCGAGCAAACAGACAACCAAAAAUUGGGCCUGGUUUGAAACAGCACAGCUUCUCUGCAGACACUUAGCCUCCUGGUAAGCCAACUGCUUAUUAGACAGAAUCUCACAGCUCUGGCAUCUAUUUUCAAAGAUUUCAUCAAUUCAAAAACAGGAGAAAGCACAAAUUCCCAGACCCACAAAAUAAACUUUAACACAUUGAAGAGCAUCGAUUUCCUUCUACCUGGAAUGCUUAUGCUUUUGAGUAAAGCAUUCUGAGCAUGAAAGGGAGGUACAUCAUAGAAACAGUGGGGUAGAAUGAUUUUCACCACAGUAGAGUGAAGUUUAUAUCAUACUGAAGAGCAUUCAAAAGAGAACGGGCUAUACAUGUGCGGAACGGGCACAUUUACUAGGUUUCUCCUUCUCCUCAAUUUUACCUUCCCAAGCUUGAAUUUAUAGGCUUAAGCUUCAUAGUGUAAUUACCGGGUUUAAUAUCAGAGAGGAGGGCAGCUUUGGUUUUUAGAGUGUGUUUGGUGUUUAUUCAAGGGAAGCAAUCUCCAAUGCAGUUUCGUUUUCUUUUCAUUUUCUCUGGGGAGGGAAGAGGGGGAUGAAUACUGAUAUUUAUGGAGUUUAAGGGUCUGGCAGCACUGGGAACUGCAGCACUUUGUUUAUCCAGAGUCCAGUUUCAACCCAGAGGGUGCCAAUGCAAACUUCUCCAGACCACCAUGCCAAAAAUGUCUGCCCUGUCUUGGAGGAGCUGCCUUCCCAAGCAAGGAGAGCUACUCAGAGCCAGCUCAGUUUGAAGCUGAACCAAGAAGAAAGCCCAAGCAUUAAACCAUGCUGUCUCAAGCACAGCAGUUCAAAAAUAUGCUUUUUAUCAGAUUUUCCUCAUAUUUUGCCUCAUAUUUUUUAUCACAGCAGGAGCUUGCCAUCACCAGCCAAGCUGAUUGACUGUGUCCUAUACCAGCAUCCGCCUUUGAUAUUCAUGUUUUCAGGAAAGCUGCAUCCCUUUCACUUAUACUCUUGCUGGGGUCUCUUUAUGCACCCACUAUUACUACCGUUACAGCAUCUGUCCUCCAACUGUGAAGGAAGCUCAUCAGGAUCACCUGCGUAUCUACUAACCGUGGGUGCCAUCAGAAAUGCAAUGUCGUCAGCACCUUCUCUCCACUCUUAAGACAUUACAUCUCCACAGCCCUUGCAGCCCUUCUAGCAGCUGGAAAUUCCUGAUUUUCAAUACAAUUUGCUUCUUCCUCUUCAUAUUGCUUAGUAUCAGGGCCAACUUUUUAAGGCAAUCUUAAUGAACCUAUAACCAGUGUGUUAAAUAUAUUUGUUGAGUUUUUCCAUAAAGCUAAGUUAAUAUAACAUGAUUGUUUUCUUAUGCACCCUGUGGGGAGUAAGGAAGGUAGGGGGUAGGAAAAGUGGGGGUGUGUAAUUGACAUAGUUGGUAUAUUGCCAAAUUUACUCACCUUUCAGGACCCCCCACCCAACAGUGAGCCGAUGGCCUUCAGGUUAGCUGAGCUUUCUAAAAUAAGCAGUUCGUCUAUGGACUGAAGUCAAGAGCUCAAGCAUCAAGUACACGUCUUUGAGAAAAGCUGCCAUGCUUGGAAAAGUUAACUUUUCAGAUGCUGAUAGAAAUGAACUCUUAACCACUAGCAUGGGCAAACUUCAAAGUUGAACUGUGUGCUUGCUGCUUUCUUUCCUAGAAUUCUUGUCAUUACAAAACUAUGUAAGAUCAACGCAAAACUAUCUGUGAUGUUGAUCAAAUGCAAUAAAAAGAAUGAUACAGCCAUAUUUAAGUUUCUAUAACUUGUAUUGUCUGUGGAACUUUAUAUAGUGCCUAGUUUGCAGGAGAUUCUCAAGUAUUGGAGAUUGUUUCUGGGCAUUUCUUUGUGAUCUCCCUGUUUAGUUCUGUGAGAGCUGGCAAAUAUUGUCGGUAGCUUUAGCAGUCAAUUAAAACUCAAACCUUUAAAACUGCAAAGUGGGAAGACAGUAUCAAAACAUUUUUUAAAAUGAGAAAUCAAGUAAAAUAUACUAAGUUAUAAUCCCAGACUCUGGAUACAGACUACUUGUGUUUUGGUUUUAGCCAUUUAUUUACUAGCUAUACAAUGGUGGGCACGUGUCUUAACCUUUCUGUGACUCAGUUUUCUCAUCAGUACAAUUGGAGAUAAUAAUAGUAGUUACUCAUUGCAUUAGAAUGAAAAUCAAUUGAGUUCAUGUCUAUAAAGGGUUAGUGCUUUGCACACAAUAAGUGCAUUUGGCUAUUUAUUAAAUAAAAUACUCUCAGGAUGUGGUCAUUUAUUAGAGGGCAUUACUUCCUGGUCAGAUUCAAAAGCAGCAUAGAUGGAAUGAAUACAUACAUUCACAUAGUUAAUAUAUUUAGUUAUUAAUCCAUUAACAAUAAAUUCACUUAACAACAACGUAUUUCAGUACCAUGGUAAAUAUUCAAAUUGAAAUAAAGUACUGGAAACUGAGCAUUUAUAGCCUUGGCAUUGACAAUAUUUUUUAAAAUUUGGAUAAAGUUUGCAGCAAACUGACAGAGGUUUUGAAUUCCAACUGUGACAUUUACAAACUACAUAAUUAAGAUUUCUACUGUCUACUUCUAUUACCUGUAAAAUGGGUUCUUAUAUUACCUCAUGCAACAGGCUUGUGGUGCGGACUAAAUAAAUCAAUAUCUAGAAAGUGUUUAUCACAGUAUCCAACACAAUAAAGUAACCACACGGCAAUAUGGAGAAUCUUUUCUUUUUAAUUAGGAGGCCAUAAAACAUUUUUGGACAUGAAAAUUGAAUAACUUGUGUGGUUAUUAAGAAAUAGCAUCUGAAGAACACAAAAAUCCCAGAAAUUUUAAAGAUUCAGAAAGCAAAGAACAGAUUUAAAGAUUAUCUAAAGCUUAAAAUUUUGUUUUCUUUUGUGGCAUAGUUUUGGACUUGCAGCUAUCAAGCUAUAGUACCCAUGAAAAGGAAAGGCUUUUUCCUUUUACGCUAAAAUUUUAAAACAGAGAAGCAGUGAAUAUUAUGAGACAUAACAAUUGCUCAUGGUUAGCAAAG
rnacentral:lncRNA from 1 species